UACAGAGGGUGCGAGCGUUAAUCGGAAUUACUGGGCGUAAAGCGUGCGUAGACGGUUAUGUAAGUCAGGUGUGAAAGCCCCGGGCUCAACCUGGGAAUUGCAUUUGAGACUGCAUAGCUAGGGUGCGGAAGAGGGAAGCGGAAUUUCCGGUGUAGCGGUGAAAUGCGUAGAUAUCGGAAGGAACAUCAGUGGCGAAAGCGGCUUCCUGGUCCAGCACAGACGUUCAGGCACGAAAGCGUGGGGAGCAAACAGG
rnacentral:rRNA from 1 species